UACGGGGGGGGGCAAGCGUUGUUCGGAAUUACUGGGCGUAAAGGCUCGUAGGCGGCCAACUAAGUCGGAUGUGAAAUCCCCAAGCUUAACUUGGGAACUGCAUCCGAUACUGGAUGGCUUGAAUCCGGGAGAGGGAUGCAGAAUUCCAGGUGUAGUGGUGAAAUGCGUAGAUAUCUGGAGGAAUACCGGUGGCGAAGGCGGCAUCCUGGACCGGCAUUGACGCUGAGGAGCGAAAGCUAGGGGAGCAAACGGG
rnacentral:rRNA from 1 species